rnacentral:misc_RNA from 1 species
GAUGAAGAACGUAGCGAAAUGCGAUAAGUAAUGUGAAUUGCAGAAUUCAGUGAAUCAUCGAAUCUUUGAACGCACCUUGCGCCCCUUGGUAUUCCGAGGGGCAUGCCUGUUUGAGUGUCAUUAAAUUCUCAAACUCACUUUGGUUUCUUUCCAAUUGUGAUGUUUGGAUUGUUGGGGGCUGCUGGCCUUGACAGGUCGGCUCCUCUUAAAUGCAUUAGCAGGACUUCUCAUUGCCUCUGCGCAUGAUGUGAUAAUUAUCACUCAUCAAUAGCACGCAUGAAUAGAGUCCAGCUCUCUAAUCGUCCGCAAGGACAAUUUGACAAUUUGACCUCAAAUCAGGUAGGACUACCCGCUGAACUUAAGCAUAUCAAUAAGCGGAGGA